rnacentral:rRNA from 1 species
CUACGGGCCGCUCCAGUGGGGAAUAUUGGGCAAUGGGCGAAAGCCUGACCCAGCAACGCCGCGUGAAGGAAGAAGGUUUUCGGAUCGUAAACUUCUAUCCCAGGUGAAGAUAAUGACGGUAGCCUGGAAGGAAGCCCCGGCUAACUACGUGCCAGCAGCCGCGGUAAUACGUAGGGGGCAAGCGUUGUCCGGAAUGAUUGGGCGUAAAGGGCGCGUAGGCGGCCUUCUAAGUCCGAUGUGAAAGUCCUGCUUUUAAGGUGGGAAUUGCAUUGGAAACUGGAGGGCUUGAGUGCAGGAGAGGUAAGUGGAAUUCCCGGUGUAGCGGUGAAAUGCGUAGAGAUCGGGAGGAACACCAGUGGCGAAGGCGACUUACUGGACUGUAACUGACGCUGAGGCGCGAAAGUGUGGGGAGCAAACAGGAUUAGAUACCCCGGUAGUC